AUGAACGCUGGCGGCGUGCCUAAUACAUGCAAGUCGAGCGAACGGACGAGAAGCUUGCUUCUCUGAUGUUAGCGGCGGACGGGUGAGUAACACGUGGAUAACCUACCUAUAAGACUGGGAUAACUUCGGGAAACCGGAGCUAAUACCGGAUAAUAUUUUGAACCGCAUGGUUCAAAGGUGAAAGACGGUCUUGCUGUCACUUAUAGAUGGAUCCGCGCUGCAUUAGCUAGUUGGUAAGGUAACGGCUUACCAAGGCAACGAUGCAUAGCCGACCUGAGAGGGUGAUCGGCCACACUGGAACUGAGACACGGUCCAGACUCCUACGGGAGGCAGCAGUAGGGAAUCUUCCGCAAUGGGCGAAAGCCUGACGGAGCAACGCCGCGUGAGUGAUGAAGGUCUUCGGAUCGUAAAACUCUGUUAUUAGGGAAGAACAUAUGUGUAAGUAACUGUGCACAUCUUGACGGUACCUAAUCAGAAAGCCACGGCUAACUACGUG
rnacentral:rRNA from 1 species